rnacentral:ncRNA from 2 species
UACUUAUCAAGAGUGGUGGAGGGACUGGCCCUAUGAAGCCCGGCAACCGGCCAUUGGAUGGCGGCGGUGCCAACUCCUGCAGGACUUUUAGUUCUUGAGAGAUAAGGU